rnacentral:rRNA from 1 species
GACGAACGCUGGUGGCGUGCUUAACACAUGCAAGUCGAACGAUGAAGGAGAGCUUGCUCUCCGGAUUAGUGGCGAACGGGUGAGUAACACGUGACUAACCUGCCCCUUUCUCUGGGAUAACGCUCCGAAAGGAGUGCUAAUACCAGAUACGAACUCUGAACACAUGUUCGGAGUUGGAAAGUUUUUCGGAAAGGGAUGGAGUCGCAGCCUAUCAGCUUGUUGGUGAGGUAACGGCUCACCAAGGCGACGACGGGUAGCCGGCCUGAGAGGGCGACCGGCCACACUGGGACUGAGACACGGCCCAUACUCCUACGGGAGGCAGCAGUGGGGAAUAUUGCACAAUGGGCGAAAGCCUGAUGCAGCGACGCCGCGUGAGGGAUGAAGGUCUUCGGAUUGUAAACCUCUUUCAGUAGGGACGAAGCGAAAGUGACGGUACCUAAAGAAGAAGCACCGGCUAACUACGUGCCAGCCGCCGCCGUAA